GGGGAUUUAGCUCAGCGGCAUAAGCGCCUGCCUUGGAAGCAGGCAGUCGAGAGUUCAAUUCCUG
rfam:Cavia porcellus supercont2_17 genomic scaffold, whole genome shotgun sequence.